rnacentral:piRNA from 1 species
UUUUGUCAUAUGUAAAAAUGA